rnacentral:rRNA from 1 species
CAGGCCUAACACAUGCAAGUCGAGCGCAGUCCUUCGGGACCGAGCGGCGGACGGGUUAGUAACGCGUGGGAACGUACCCUUUUCUACGGAAUAGCCUCGGGAAACUGAGAGUAAUACCGUAUAAGCCCUUCGGGGGAAAGAUUUAUCGGGAAAGGAUCGGCCCGCGUUAGAUUAGAUAGUUGGUGGGGUAAUGGCCUACCAAGUCUACGAUCUAUAGCUGGUUUUAGAGGAUGAUCAGCAACACUGGGACUGAGACACGGCCCAGACUCCUACGGGAGGCAGCAGUGGGGAAUCUUGGACAAUGGGCGCAAGCCUGAUCCAGCCAUGCCGCGUGAGUGAUGAAGGCCUUAGGGUCGUAAAGCUCUUUCGCCUGUGAAGAUAAUGGACGGUAGCAGGUAAAGAAACCCCGG